rnacentral:lncRNA from 12 species
AAAAUAAAAGCACCACCUCUUGCCACCAGGGCUCAAAGACUGACCCUCGCUAGUGCGGCCACCCGGGCCACUGCCUCCUAGUUCAUACACUGAGCCAAUUACAAGCCUCUGAGCGGGGGGGAAAAGUAACUGCUCCAGGUGGCUGGGAAGAGAAACCGCGGAAAAACCUGGACGCCCCGCCCCGCGCAAGCCCCGCCCCUCCUGCGCGAGCCCCGCCCCCGAGGGUAGCCCCGCCCCCGCGCGCAGAUACGCGGGGCGGGAAGGCGUGGAGGGGCGUGGCCUGCGUCCGCAGCGGAGGCGGGAGGCUGGUCUUCCUCCGAUCCCGGGUCUGAGGCGCUGUCCAAGGACCGGAAAGGGAAUGGUUUUAAUGAGCUUUCCGCCAAAAUAGGACCAAGGAGUGGUUCCCUCCAGCUCCCUCCAGUAGAAAUCUGAUUCCAGCCUGACCCGAGCAGGUAAAGGUCUUCCGCCUUCCACCCCGCCCCCUCGCCUCGGCCGCUCUGGACUACAAACCCCAGAAGGCGUCGGAGCUGCGCCCUCCGACUUGCGCCGCGGCGUUGGUUGUAAAGUGCUAUGACAACAGGGCGAGGGUGGCUCGGAGUCAGGCAGGAGUGGGGACGUGUGCCUUCCGCGGCUGCCGUCCUUCGCCGGUCUCUCCCACUGACUGUCUUCCUCAGCGUUUCCUCCUCUUUGUGGGAAGCGGGACUUACCGUGGUUCUGGCCUGCCUGGUCUCUUGAGGGACUGACGCCGUGUUCCCCGCGUGUCUCCGGGAUUGGCACGGAGGGGAUGCAGGCUUCCUGCUUGUGGGUGUCGCUCCAGCUCUGUGGAGCCGGUGGUGCUCCCUGCUGAAGCGCUUUCCGUCUGGGACGAGGAACAAGUUGGAGCAGGGGAACCGCCGGGAGUAGUGAAGCGAGGGCUUGCUCUGCUCUGCACCCUCCAUUCUUGCUCUCGUCGUUGCAGCUCUGGCACCCUGGCAGGAAGCAGUUCUUCAAGGGAAAUCUGUGGAGAGUUCGAGGAAAGGUGGGUUCAGGACCCACCUGAUUCGGCGUCAGAGCACAGCAGUUUAGAUGACCUGAGCUGAUUUUUGUCAGCGCCUCCUUUCCUUCGUCAAGUCCUGCAAUUGACUUCAGUUUCCUGGAGAAAUUCAUAGGUGUUUUUUUUUUUUUUUUUUAUCCCCCCAUCUCAUUACUUUAAAUGUGAAACCACAUAGCACACAUACAUAACUUGAAGAUUUUUUUUUUUACAACUUGAAGAUCUUUAUCUUUUUUUUUUAAAUUAAAAAAAAUUUAUUUAUGAUAGUCACACACACACACACACACACACAGAGAGAGAGAGAGAGAGGGGCACAGA